rnacentral:rRNA from 1 species
AUCUAUGGUCAUGCCACCCUGAACGAGCCCCGUCUCGUCUGAUCUCGGAAGCUAAGCAGGGUCAGGCCUGGUGAAUACUUGGAUGGGAGACCACCUAGGAAGACCAGGUGCUGUGGUCA